AGAUGCACUGUGAGAUGGACAGGCCGAGGGCGCGGGCAACGCCAACCGGAAUGAGGGAGUAAAGGCCCACGGGGCCAAGGGCCGACGCCCUGCUGCCGGUGCGUGCUCUGGGGUGAGGGCGGCUUCCAAGAAUCAGGCCCACGUGGCUCCUCCCCGGAGACGCGACAGUCAGGUCUGCGAGGACCCCCAUCCGUCCGUCCGCGGAGACGAGGUCACAGACGAGCAGGGCCUCCCGUUUUGAAAGCGUCUCCCUACUGCUCUGGGGUCCCGCUGAAGCAUGCCUGUGGUCUGGGCUGGCUGGUGGUCCGUGUCCACCCUGCUGACGAGGGGAAGUGACCGUCUGUUGCGGGAGCAAGACGAGUAAACAGGCGGUGACCACACCUGUGAUAAGGGUGGUGGCAGCAGUGAGUGCAGGGUCCUCCAAAUCUGCGUGCAUUUUCCACUCGGACCCAGCACCGUCCCGGAGUCCCAGCAGGAAUGCCGGCCUGCUGACCACGCUCCCAGCUCCCCAGGAACAGCCUGGAACCAGAGCCGGGCUCUUCGGUGCGGUCCCGGCGGGAGCCGCCCAGCGCCGGGGAGCAGUCAGCCACUCCGGCCGCGGCCCCUCCCAGACCUGCUGGUUCCGGUCUGCGACUUAACAGCUUCCCGGGCAUUCAUCUGAGAAAGCGUGGGCGAGGAGGACGUCACAGGGCCCAGGUGGCAGGCAUUUCCAGGGCAACGGAAAUUGGUUAAAAUGAAACGCACUUUUCUGUUAGUUAGCUUGUGUCUCCGCUUCCCUGCCCCCCCCAGACUGGGAUUAUUCAGGCUUUUUCUCCGGGUUGUGUGGAAUUUAAGUGCAAGCUUGCCCGGGGAGCCUUUCUCUCUGUCCAGGCUCCCCGGAAUCACAGAGCCGCCCCCACCCCCGGGUUGUGCAGGGGUAAUUCUGCUGCCGGGCCAGCGCCGGGAGAGGGGAGACCCCACCCGACUGCAGGGCCCGUGGGUGGGGGGGUGACGGGCAGACCCCCCUGAGCGGCUUGGGCCCGCCAAGGCCCCCACUCCAAACGGGGUAGGUGUGUGUGCACAACCACUUCCACACUCUCUCACACUCAGGACCUUUCAUGGGGGAGCAAGUGUGUGCACACAGGGCUAGCAGAGCCCUGGUAGUUCUGUCACCCGUGUGGACUAAUGUCCCCAAGGCCGGAACAUUAUCAAAUGGUUAUUCAGGAACCUUUCCAAGCUCCCACCCUUCUGUCCCCACCUGUCCUUCCUCAGGAAGGCCACCUUCCAAGGCUCACCCUGCAUCUACCCAGGGCCGGCCCCGCCCACGCCCGGGCCCUGGCCCUGGCCCCAGAUCCGGGGAAGGCCCAGCCCUCCCAGCUGCCGUCAGCGUGUUGCUGGUCACGACACGUCCCAACUGAGGGUGCUUAUCUCAGGCCCCCGGCAGUCCUCACCUGGCCGUACUUCCUUUCCCUCUCACCAGCCAGCCGCCGGGCCAGCUCCCCAGGCAGCGGGAGGGGUGACAGAGAGGUCAGGGGAGGCUCAGGCAAAGCUGUGUGGGAGGAGGGUGCCGCCAGGCACAGGGGGACCCAGAUGAAACCCACAGUGCCCCUUGCAAGCAGCGAUGGGCCAUGGACGGGCCUGGAAGGGAGAGGAGGGCUGAAGGGAGUCCCCUGCUCCCCAGGCCCAGCCAGAGCCCUGCACUGGGGCUCAUGCUGUGGGGUCCUCUUGGGGAGACAGUCCCAUUUAGGUGGGCGAAUAAAGCCGAGGGGGGUGGCGGGACCCUGGGCUGCGGUGCCCGCUCCCUAGCUUAGUGACCUGGAUGGAGCAGGCCGCUCAAUCCCUCCCGCCCUCAGCUGCCUCACCUCUGCCGCGGGCAACCGGCAGAUUAAACACCAGCGAGUAAGCGAGAUACAACGCCCCUAGGACCCCGCGCAGGCCUCCCAUUUGGAACACGGCGUCCCCGGCACAGCUCCUCCAGAGGGAGCUGCGGGAGGCCACACGGCUCGAGAGCAGCCCGAGCUCCAGCCCCGGGGGGCUGAGGCCGGGGAUACACACUUCCUUCCCCCGGCCGGGCUGACUCACUGGCCGGCCGCGCUGGCGGCUCCCGGGCUGGAAACCCUCUCUCCCGCGGGCUGCCUUUCUGCUCCGGGAGCGGACACCUCUUGUUUUCGCCUGCCCAGCCACCGUGCCCUUUCAGUCUGGAAACAGCGUUUGUUCCUUUCUCAGCCUGGGAGAUCUUUUUUUGUUGUUGGAAAAGAUUUCUUUCAAGGGAAGCAGUUAGGCUGCUGGCCUGUAAGCCUAGAGCUGCGGGCAAGAUUCUUGGCCACCUCGUGGGCCUACGGAGGCAGAGCUAAGGACUAUAGAACAACAGGUCCCUAACACUACCAUGCGGGCACCUAGAUACAGCCGUGCCUGAAGUCAGACCCUGGAUUGUUUUUCCCCGCUAGCUGGUUUAGAUUCAGCUUGCAAUCAAGAGUGCCUGACUGACUAAUAGUGCCCGACUUGUCUGAUACCGAGGCUCCUGUACCUUAAACCAUAUCAGACUGACUCAGCCGUGCAGAGAGACUGAAGAGGAAAAAGGCAAAACAAACAAGUGAAGAACUUUCUCUUUCAGGCUCCCUUUCGUGUUCCGUGCGUGGUCCCUCGGCUCGCGGUUGCUGAAUGAGUGUGCAGGCCUGUUGGAGGAAGUCCUCCUCGCGGCCACUCCUCAGUGACCUGGUUACCUGCACCAACGUCACGGUGCUUUGUGCCACCCGAGCGGCCCUGACACGCAACAGCCGGCCAGUCCCGCGGAGGGGCGUGCAGCCCCGCGCUGGGGAGAGCCACGCGAGACUCCGCCCGGGGCUGUGCCGCGUCGGGGACGGACGGCUCUGGCCGCGGAGGGCCUCCGGACGAGGCAUCACUCAGCAAAUAUUUGCGGUCCCUUGCCCGUGCUGCUCUCUUAGGUGGUCUUAAUCGCCAUCCUCCAGAUAAGUGGAUCCAGUCUGUCAUUGCUGAGAUAGUUAGCAUUCCAACACACAGGAAAAAAAGCUCUCCCUUCGUUCGCCCUUCCCAGGGCUGAUCUGUCUUCCUUCUCCGGCGCCUCCGCCGCGGCCUGGCAGGCAGUCCCCAGUCUCAGCCUCACAGCGGCUUUGGGGACCGAGGCUCCUCGAGCCCCGGUGUUGGGGUGUCGAGUCACCCACCGGGUCAUGCAGAGGGAUGCC